rnacentral:misc_RNA from 1 species
GAAAUGCGAUAAGUAGUGUGAAUUGCAGAAUUCAGCGAAUCAUCGAAUCUUUGAACGCACAUUGCGCCCUUUGGUAUUCCUUAGGGCAUGCCUGUUCGAGCGUCAUCUAAACCUUCAAGCCCUGCUUGGUGUUGGGUGCCUGUCCCGCCUCCGCGCGCGGACUCACCUCAAAUCCAUUGGCGGCCCCCGCGUCGGCCACGAGCGCAGCAGAAACGCGAACUCGUGAGCCCGUCCGGGCGGCUCCCAGAAGCUACACCCACCCAGUUUGACCUCGGAUCAGGUAGGGAUACCCGCUGAACUUAAGC